rnacentral:misc_RNA from 1 species
UCACCCCUCAAGCCCCGGCUUGGUGUUGGACUUCGUUGCAGACCCCCCUGCAACGGGCCCCAAAGACAGUGACGCCGUCCCAGAGGGAACCGGUACGAGGAGCUUCCAGUUAAGCAUGUACGCGGGAGGACUCUGCGGGCGGCGGUCGCUUUUAGAAUUUUUAUCCAAG